GAAUAAUUGCUCGCCCUGCUUGGAGCGAGGGGGAGCUCCUCCUCCAUGCUCGGUUGAAGGGUUGAACCCUCACCUCACCGGGUAGAGAAAUAUAUAACUUUUGGCUUGUGUGUUUGGAUCCACAAAUCUGAGGUUCACACGGAGAGGGUUGCAUGAGGGAUCCGUUUUUACUUUUAUGCUGUGCCGUGGUUUUUCUCCUUGCUUUUCUUCUUCUGUAUGUGUUGUUUAUACAGGGUUUUUGCCUUUAAGAUGCGUCCUCAAAGGACUAUUUGGGUAAAGGUUGGCUCUCUGGGGCUUGAUGUUGGUGAGUGAGAUUUGUUUCCCCCACAGCCGUAGUCGACCAAGAUGCUGAAAAGCCAUUCCCCCGACUCAGAGACUCCGUGGUUGUGCCUUUCUUCAACUGACCCCGAUAGCAGGAGAUGAAGAUGUAGAAAGUGUCUUCUUUGGUCUUCAGCAUGUCCUUUAAGCUAAGCAUGCGACUAAAGAAAUUUGGGAGUCUCCGAUGAGUUGAAUGUCGUCUUCAGCAAUCCAAAGUCUCGGCUGAGCAUGGAACGGCGUUACACUGCAAGACUUGUUUCCUCUAGCCGAGUACUAAGGCGGGUUAGGGACCGACUACCUAGUUCUGGAUUUUUGUUGCGGGUUCUAGUUCUAGGCCUGUAACUUUCCAUUGCUUUUGUGGGCUCAGGGUUUUUCUACAUCUGGAUUUAUUGAUGUGGACUUUGGGUCUCUCUUUGUUUGUUGGAUCGUUAAUUGUAGGCUCAGUAUAUUGGUGCUUAAUCCUGUUAAAUAUUUGGGCCUAGUGGCUUUGUACUAAUCCUACAUCAUUAAUGAAUUACUUCCUAUCUCUUGAUAAAUUCAG
rnacentral:misc_RNA from 1 species